GGUUUGUUUUGUGGAUUUCCUCAGUCUGAAACCAGGAGCAGUAGAGUAAACAACUAAAUUUCUUGUUUAAUUUUCAGUUUUGUGUUUUUUUGGAUUCCAGUCAGAAAAAAAACUUUUAAAAUCAAAAUGUGCUGUGGACCCUGUGGACCCUGUGGACCGUGCUGCGGCGGCUGCUACAGCCCUUGCUGUAGUCCUUGCUGUGGCCCGUGCUGUGGACCCUGUGGACCCUGCGGACCCUGUUGCAGUCCCUGCUGUGGACCGUGCUGUGGACCCUGUUGCGGCGGUGGAUGCUGCAGCAGCUGUGGUCCAUCCUGCUGAGCCCUGGCCAACGUCCGUCGAAUCCAAAAAGGCACUAACUAACUGAUUGUUAAUUUCCAAAUAUCUCUGCUGACUUAUUCGACUUGAAAACAAGAUCAAGUCGUAAUAAACCUGGAAUCGGACGAAG
rnacentral:sRNA from 1 species